UACGGAGGGUGCAAGCGUUAUCCGGAUUUACUGGGUUUAAAGGGUGCGUAGGCGGGUAGGUAAGUCAGUGGUGAAAUCUUCGAGCUUAACUCGGAAAUUGCCUUUGAUACUAUCUAUCUUGAAUAUUGUGGAGGUAAGCGGAAUAUGUCAUGUAGCGGUGAAAUGCUUAGAUAUGACAUAGAACACCUAUUGCGAAGGCAGCUUACUACGCAUAUAUUGACGAUGAGGCACGAAAGCGUGGGGAUCAAACAGG
rnacentral:rRNA from 1 species